rnacentral:rRNA from 1 species
UACAGAGGGGGCAAGCGUUGUUCGGAAUUACUGGGCGUAAAGGGCGCGUAGGCGGCCUGUUAAGUCGAACGUGAAAUCCCUGGGCUCAACCCAGGAACUGCGUCCGAUACUGGCAGGCUUGAAUCCGGGAGAGGGAUGCGGAAUUCCAGGUGUAGCGGUGAAAUGCGUAGAUAUCGGGAGGAACACCUGCGAUGUAGAUAGCUUACUGGACCGUAACUGACGCUGAGGCACGAAAGCGUGGGUAGCAAACAGG